rnacentral:lncRNA from 1 species
GGCCUUAUUACAUUUAAAAACCCAAACCUCAACGUAAAUAAUAGGAUGUCCAAUUCACCAGAAGAAAACCAAACUUUCAGAACGGGUGGCCACUCCGAAUUCCCUCACAGCUCCAAGCCCACUAUGGUUGGGGAUUUCUUGCGUGGAUGAAAAUAAAAGGGGUGAGUUUGGGGAAACUCAGUGUGUAAGGAAAACUCAUUCAAAGCCCAAGUCAGCUCAAGCCUAUUGGGCCUAAGCCCAUU